AUGAGGACCAGUUUGUUGGGCCAGGGAAGGGUACCAGGGAACAGGAAUGUGUUGCAGGCACGAGCGGCCAUGGCAGCAGCGUGGUGUGGCCAGGUUCAGGAAAGGAGCCACAUGGUCAGAGUCUAUGUUGGAUGGACAAUGACUAAGAGAGUGGAUCUCAUCGGUGACUCUCCGAGGCAGGGCGGCCAAGCAAGAGACAACGCGGGCCCAAACGAGGCUGUGUUACUGGACAGGGAGAGGACACUGUCAGGAGGCACUCUGGAGGUGACGUUGGUAGGACGGAUUGAUAGCUGGAGGGAGAGUGGGGGAAGGACAUCCAGGUUUCUGGCUGGAGAGAGUGGGUGCAUAGGAGUGCUGUGACCCUACUCAGGUAUUUCUUAAAGUAGUGUCUGCUCUGCCUCAGGCUGGCCUCAGUUGCCCCCUGCAUUCCAUUUUUGUUAAUCCUGCAGAAAUCAGACCUUUAUUUCUUGCCUAGAUUCUUGAGGUAUCCUCUUCUAAAAAAAAUUUUUUUUUAAAUGUUUAUUUAUUUUUGAGAGAGACAGAGACAGAGACAGAGAGUGAGUGGGGGGAGGAGCAGAGUUGAGAGGGAGACACAGAAUCCGAAGCAGGCUUCAGGCUCCAAGCUGUCAGCACAGAUCCCAAUGCGGGGCUUGAACCCACAAACCGUGAGAUCAUGACCUGAGCCGAAGUCGGACGCUUAACUUACUGAGCCACCCGGGCGCCCCUUGAGGUAUCCUCUUAAUUUCUUCCAGUCCAUCCUGCACACUGGUGCCCAAGUCCUCUUCCAGGGACAGCUGAACAAGAAUCCUCACUGGCUGCACAUUGAAAAAUCUCCAAGUUCUUUCGCCUGACUGUCAAUAUUCAUUGCUAGUGGGGACAUGAAGACAUGGUCUUUGCCCUGAAAGAGUGUAAUUUUCCACAGAAGGUGAGGCAUAUUACACGUAAAGUAGCUAAACGUCAAAUGGUCUUUAGAAGGGGAACAGAAUUCGUGCUCUGAGGGGAAAGAAGGAAGGAGGCAGAGUUUCCCCUAGAGGUGAAUCAAGGUCACCCUGGUCUUUUCCCAUUAUGUCAUUCCAGGUGCGUCUUCCAUUCUCCCCUGCACCUGUCCUCUCUGGUCUGUCCACACUGGUCUCAUCGUUGCCUGAAAAUGACUCCCCUUUCCCACCUCUGUGUCUCGGCAGACUCCCUCUGCCUGGCAUACAGGCCCUCCUGUCUCCUUUCUGCCUGUUAGAAUCCUACCAUCUUUCAGUAUUCAGCCCAGUGCAAGUGCUUUAUUGAGUCCCCUGCCCAGAUGGGAUCCUCCCAAGGCACGUUACCUUUCUGAUGGCCUUUGUACAUUUCACCGCAUACAGUACCUACCGUGUCUCACGCUUUAUUGCCCCCACCAGCCUGGGAACAGAGGUGUGACACUGGGAGCCUUAGUUGUGGGUCUAGCCCGCAGAUGCAUUUCACUAGUUCUCAUUCUUUUUUAACAAUCACAAUUCAUUUAGUUGAAGAAUCACAACCAAGUAUCAAACAUACAGAAAAGUACAGAGUAUGCUGUAAUGCCCACCCAGGACCCAUCACCAAGAAGGAACAGAUUGCCUCUAACGCCUCGCUGCCCGCUUUUUGAGAACUAAAAUAUUACGCGUACGGUUUCGGCACUAGCCCACACAUUCCCGGAGCUGGUCUGCACACUGUUUUCAAAAUUUAGAAUUAGGUGCCAAUAUUUGGAAAUCAAGAGAUUUCAUAUAGCGAUUGGGAAGGUUUGCUUUCCUCGAAGAGUCAGAAGAUCUGGGAACUUGGAGUACAUCCCAGGCCCGAAUCAGCUGCUGCCUCCCGGAAGCAGAGCGUGGCCUCCUGCACACCACACUCCCACCCCCCCCCCCCACCCCCCCAUGCCCUGGGGUCUUUGGGCUCCAACCUGCUUCACUUACAAUGCGGGUGCUGGCUCCUGCAGACAUGUAGUCUGAUGUCUUCACGUGGACUCCUGGAAGUCACAAUGCUUUUUUUUUUUUAUUAUUAUUAUCGCUGGAACUGAACCACUAGCGAGCUGGAUGACCUCGAGCAAAUUGCGUACCUCUCUGCUUCCAUUUCCUCCUGUGUCAAAUUAGGGUAGCAAGAGCGCCUGCUUUUGAGUGUUGUUUGAGGGUUAUUAUAUAAAACGUGUAAGGCAAUCCCUGGCACCUGAUUCUUCUGGCUAGCAGUCCACGAGCUUUUGUCCAAAAUCCUAGGGGCUGGAUGUGUGUUGAAAUUCAGAUUUCUUUUAGAUUUUAAGAAGGUAAUAAAGCAAUAUCAUAAUUACA
rnacentral:lncRNA from 1 species